rnacentral:rRNA from 1 species
GACGAACCGUGCAACCGUUGUUCGGAAUCACUGGGCUUAAAGGGCGCGUAGGCGGGUUCCCAAGUCGGUGGUGAAAUCUUGCGGCUCAACCGUAGAAGUGCCGCCGAUACUGGGAGUCUCGAGGGAGGUAGGGGUCGAGGGAACUUCCGGUGGAGCGGUGAAAUGCGUAGAUAUCGGAAGGAACGCCGGUGGCGAAAGCGCUCGACUGGACCUUUACUGACGCUGAGGCGCGAAAGCCAGGGGAGCAAACGGG